rnacentral:rRNA from 1 species
ACGCUCGACACCUACGGGAGGAGCAGUGGGGAAUAUUGCACAAUGGGGGAAACCCUGAUGCAGCGACGCCGCGUGAAGGAAGAAGUAUCUCGGUAUGUAAACUUCUAUCAGCAGGGAAGAAAAUGACGGUACCUGACUAAGAAGCCCCGGCUAACUACGUGCCANNCGCGAGUAUCNGNGGCGNGNGAGAG